rnacentral:rRNA from 1 species
UUAAUAGUAAAAUCUGCUCAAUGAUAUAUAAAUAGCCGCAAUUUGUGCUAAGGUAGCAUAAUCAUUUGUCUUUUAAAUAAAGACUAGAACAAAAGAUUUAACAUUUAAAUCUAUUUAUUUAAUAUAAAAAUUAAAUUUUUCUUAAACGUAAAAAGACAUUUAUUAAAAAGAAAGACGACAAGACCCUAUUGAACUUAACUUCAGUUAAACUGGGGUAGUUACUUAAUCAAAAUUUAAUUAAUAAAUUUAAUAAAUUAACUAAAUAACUUAAUUAAUUCAGUUACCAUAGGGAUAACAGCGCAAUUAUAUUUUAAAGCUCUCAUUUAAAAAAUAGAUUACGACCUCGAUGUUGAAUUAAUAACCUAAAUAAAGCAAAUUUUAAAUCAGGAAGUCUGUUCGACUUUUUAAAAAUUACAUGAUUUGAGUUCAGACCGGUGUAAACCAGGUCGGUUUCUAUCUUCUAAAUACAGUUUUAUAGUACGAAAGGACCUAAAAUAUAAUUUAAUAUUAUAUUGGCAGAAAAAUGCAUUAGAAUUAGAAUCUAAAAAAACU